rnacentral:rRNA from 1 species
ACGCACGCUGGCGGCAGGCUUCACCCCUGCAAGUCGCGCGCCCCGCAAGGGGAGCGGCAGACGGGUGAGUAACGCGUGGGAACGUACCUUUUGGUUCGGAACAACUCCGGGAAACUGGAGCUAAUACCGGAUAAGCCCUAACGGGGAAAGAUUUAUCGCCGAAAGAUCGGCCCGCGUCUGAUUAGCUAGUUGGUGAGGUAACGGCUCACCAAGGCGACGAUCAGUAGCUGGUCUGAGAGGAUGAUCAGCCACACUGGGACUGAGACACGGCCCAGACUCCUACGGGAGGCAGCAGUGGGGAAUAUUGGACAAUGGGCGCAAGCCUGAUCCAGCCAUGCCGCGUGAGUGAUGAAGGCCUUAGGGUUGUAAAGCUCUUUUGUCCGGGAAGAUAAUGACUGUACCGGAAGAAUAAGCCCCGGCUAACUUCGUG